rnacentral:rRNA from 1 species
UACGGAGGGUGCAAGCGUUAAUCGGAAUUACUGGGCGUAAAGCGCACGUAGGUGGUUUUCUAAGUCAGCUGUGAAAUCCCCGGGCUCAACCUGGGACUUGCAGUUGAAACUGGAAAGCUAGAGUAGGGUAGAGGGGUGUGGAAUUCCAGGUGUAGCGGUGAAAUGCGUAGAUAUCUGGAGGAACACCGGUGGCGAAGGCGGCAUCCUGGACCAACACCGACGCUGAGGAGCGAAAGCCAGGGGAGCAAACGGG